CUGCUCCACUUGUUCCAAGGCUUUUUACACAACUUGACCAAUACACUGACCAGCUCAUAAAAGUCUUCAAGAAAAAAGGAGGCGUUGCAGGGAAGAAAAUUAGACAAACUUUGGCCCCAGCCACACAGAAGGAAACUAUUGAAAAGGGGAGGGAGUGUGUCCUCAGGGCACUACCUUUUUACCUGAAUGAAGACCCAAGCAUCCUCUUCAAAGAAUAAUUGCUACAGCUGUUCAGAGGGAGCUGGAACAA